UCUGCAGGUCAUUGUACCGGAUACUGUUGACUGGUAUAUCGCUUUAAUUUACGUAAAUCUAAUGAAAUCGUUCAACCUGCGAAUUCAAGUAUAGCCGGUUAGAAGCAUCCGGCAUCACUUUAUAUGCGACUAUUUUGCAAGCAAUCUCGAUUUAAUACCUAUAUGACUCAGUAAUGUUAAAAAUGAAAUCUCCUGACUUGGAUGAUGGUAAACAGCUCUAUAAAAUUUGUUUUGAACAACAACAACAACAACAACAACAACAACAACAACAACAACAACAACAACAACAACAACAACAAUAGUUUAUUAACACUCAAAAAGAUACAAAUACAUUCUGUUAUAGUUAAAAAAUUACAAAUGAGAGUGAAGGCCACCUGUGAUAACCAUCAGGGCUAAUCGAGACAGGUGGCCUUUAAAGAGACACAAGAAAAACUAUGAUUAGGAGAGUUAAGGCAGUAAUCAAUAUAGAAACACUUAAUCUGCUUAAUUACACAGACAACAAAAACAUGAAGAAAACAAAAAGAGCUCAAAUAUUUUGAAUAAUAUUAAGGGGAAAAAAGGUAAAAAUAUACAGGGUAUUUCGUGAUGUGAUUUAGUAGGCACCAAUCAGCUGUUCUUUUAACUUAUGUUUGAAAGUAAAUUUAGAAAGAGUUUUAAGAGACUCGUCAAUUUCAUUCCAAAUCUGAGUUCCUCUAAAUCUGAUUCUAAAUUUACCAUAAUUUGUGCGAGCUGGAGGAAGAGAGUAGGUUGAUCUUGAAGCAAG